CAUUAUAAAUGCUAUAAAAUUUUUAUAUUUUUCAACAAAAUAAUCAAAAACAAGCCGAAAAAAAAACUGUGGGCUUUGUCUAGACUAAACUGACCUUUGUUGGUUGCAUUUGCCUGCCCCCAUCUACUUUGAUGGCACACUUUUGCCUGGGCGUUGGUUAUCAAUUUCCUAAAUGACUACCACCCACCUGUUAAACAUUAGCAAACGAGGCGGUGGCUGCUGCAGCGGCUUCUUUAAAAAAGUUCAAUCAAAAACCCUUCUGGCCAGACCUUUUCCGUUUCCGUUUAUUUGCAUACCAAUGAAACAAACGCGAAAACAAGAAACUCAAAUCGAUGCUCUAAUGAAGGCAGACUGGCAGGCAGUCCGUCUCUCAUAAAUACCUAAUUAAAAAAGCAUUUAACAUUUAUUUGUUUAUUUUAACAAAAAGUCUGACUAAUUUUUAACAAAAAAAAAACUCGAACACACCAAUUUACAAACACUAGCGCACACUCGAAAUGCUACAAAAAAAAAAAUCAAAAAUGCGUGGUGGUUGUGCUCUUAAAUAAUAUAUUAACAAAAACAAACAGUUGUAUGUAGGUACAUAUGUAUAAAUAUAUUGAAAAUUAUUGUAGUCUUAUACUUC
rnacentral:sRNA from 1 species